GAUGAAGAACUUAGCGAAAUGCGAUAAGUAAUGUGAAUUGCAGAAUUCAGUGAAUCAUCGAAUCUUUGAACGCACAUUGCGCCCGCCAGUAUUCUGGCGGGCAUGCCUGUCUGAGCGUCAUUUCAACCCUCAUGCCCCUAGGGCGUGGUGUUGGGGAUCGGCCAAAGCCCGCGAGGGACGGCCGGCCCCUAAAUCUAGUGGCGGACCCGUCGUGGCCUCCUCUGCGAAGUAGUGAUAUUCCGCAUCGGAGAGCGAUGAGCCCCUGCCGUUAAACCCCCAACUUUCCAAGGUUGACCUCAGAUCAGGUAGGAAUACCCGCUGAACUUAAGCAUAUCAAUAAGCGGAGGA
rnacentral:misc_RNA from 1 species